rnacentral:rRNA from 1 species
GACGAACGCUGGUGGCGUGCUUAACACAUGCAAGUCGAACGGAAAGGCCCUGCUUUUGUGGGGUGCUCGAGUGGCGAACGGGUGAGUAACACGUGAGUAACCUGCCCUUGACUUUGGGAUAACUUCAGGAAACUGGGGCUAAUACCGGAUAGGAGCUCCUGCUGCAUGGUGGGGGUUGGAAAGUUUCGGCGGUUGGGGAUGGACUCGCGGCUUAUCAGCUUGUUGGGGGGGUAGUGGCUUACCAAGGCUUUGACGGGUAGCCGGCCUGAGAGGGUGACCGGCCACAUUGGGACUGAGAUACGGCCCAGACUCCUACGGGAGGCAGCAGUGGGGAAUAUUGCACAAUGGGCGGAAGCCUGAUGCAGCAACGCCGCGUGCGGGAUGACGGCCUUCGGGUUGUAACCCGCUUUCGCCUGUGACGAAGCGUGAGUGACGGUAAUGGGUAAAGAAGCACCGGCUAACUACGUG